rnacentral:rRNA from 1 species
AGAGUUUGAUCCUGGCUCAGAUUGAACGCUGGCGGCAUGCUUUACACAUGCAAGUCGAACGGCAGCACGGGGGCAACCCUGGUGGCGAGUGGCGAACGGGUGAGUAAUAUAUCGGAACGUACCCGGAAAUGGGGGAUAACGUAGCGAAAGUUACGCUAAUACCGCAUAUGCCCUAAGGGGGAAAGCGGGGGAUUCGCAAGAACCACGCGUUUCGGAGCGGCCGAUAUCGGAUUAGCUAGUAGGUGAGGUAAAGGCUCACCUAGGCGACGAUCCGUAGCUGGUCUGAGAGGACGACCAGCCACGCUGGAACUGAGACACGGUCCAGACUCCUACGGGAGGCAGCAGUGGGGAAUUUUGGACAAUGGGCGCAAGCCUGAUCCAGCCAUGCCGCGUGAGUGAAGAAGGCCUUCGGGUUGUAAAGCUCUUUCAGCCGGAAAGAAAACGCACGGGUUAAUAACCUGUGUGGAUGACGGUACCGGAAGAAGAAGCACCGGCUAACUACGUG